GCCUUGAUAGUUCAGUUGGUUAGAACGUUAGUCUCAUGCGGUUCUAAACACAGUUUGGGAGAUCUAAAGGUCGUGAGUUCAAAUCUCACUCAGGGCA